rnacentral:rRNA from 1 species
AUGGCGCUCCUCCAGUGCACCCGGCCUGUGUCUGCGGCGGCACCGGCGGCGGCUGUCGCCACCUCCGUGCCAGGUGCCGGCUCCACGCCCCCAGCGCCGCCGCCGCCUCUCACCGCCGCUGUGCUCGCCGCGGCAGCCCUUGCCUCCCGCAUGGCCGCCCCAACCGCUGGUGGCCGUUUCUCCGAAGCUGGCGACCUCCCCGUCCUGCAGCAAUUCUCGUCUGAUGCUCGGCCCGAUUUGGAUCAGGAGCAAGCUGCGCUGGGCCGGCUCGUCCUAGUUGGCGGCGUUUCCAUGGAGGUGCCGCCAGGCAAGUCCGCUGCUCCGGCUCUGCCGGCCGCUUCUGUCUCGGCAUCGCGUGGUCUUGACUGCAAUGGUAUGAGCUCCGAUGUGGAUGUAGAUGUGGAGAUGGCGCUGCAGACGCCGCUGGCCUCGGCUAGUGCAGACCAGCUGACCCGCCGGCCGCAUUCUGUGUUGUGGGCUUCCGCUGCUGAUGAAGAUGACGACAUGGAUGACAGUGAGGAUCUAGCCCCCAGGACUCCGCCGGCUGCUGCCAAGGCCAUCGACUCCGUCUCCGCCAAGGUGUGCACGGGGCACGGGCCGGACACAAGAGGGAGUUGGCAGGAGGUGCUGCCGUGGCGAGGUCCCUGGCAUCCGUCAUCACCGGCCCUGCCAUUGGCUGCUCGCCCCAUCCCUACUUGGCUGUAUUGCAGAUGCUGCAGAUGCCUUGCUCCUGGGCACUGUGCGGCUGCUUGCAAAGAUCCACUUCGGUGUUCCCGAUGUUUGUAG